CCUACUGGUGACAUCAUUGGGGCAUCUUGCACAAUGGGGGAAACCCUUAUGCAGCGACUUCGCGUGAGUUCCUCCUUCUUUCUUUCUUUCCCUCUCUCUCCUCCUUUCCUCCCCUUCCUUUACCUUCUUAAGAAGCCCCGUCUAACUACGUUCCCGCAGCCGCGGUCAUACGUAGGGUGCACUCGUUCUCCGGCUUUACUGGGUGUAAAGGGAGCGUAGACGGCAGCCCAAGUCUGGAGUGAAAUGCCGGGGCUUAACCGCGGAACUGCGUUGGAAACUGUGCAGCUAGAGUGCAGGAGAGGUAAGUGGAAUUCAUAGUGUAGCGGUGAAAUGCGUAGAGAUUAGGAGGAACACCAGUGGCGAAGGCGGCUUACUGGACUGUAACUGACGUUGAGGCUCGAAAGCGUGGGGAGCAAACAGGAUUAGAGAAAAGAGUAGUC
rnacentral:rRNA from 1 species